rnacentral:rRNA from 1 species
ACGGAGGGUGCGAGCGUUAAUCGGAAUUACUGGGCGUAAAGCGUACGCAGGCGGUUCGCUAAGUCAGGUGUGAAAUCCCCGGGCUUAACCUGGGAAUUGCAUUUGAAACUGGCGGGCUGGAGUACGGCAGAGGGGGGUAGAAUUCCAGGUGUAGCGGUGAAAUGCGUAGAGAUGUGGAGGAACACCGAUGGUGAAGGCAGCCCCCUGGGCAGAUACUGGCGCUCAUGCGCGAAAGCGUGGGGAGCAAACAG